rnacentral:rRNA from 1 species
UACGUAGGGUGCAAGCGUUAAUCGGAAUUACUGGGCGUAAAGCGUGCGCAGGCGGUUUAGUAAGCCAGAUGUGAAAUCCCUGGGCUUAACCUGGGAAUGGCAUUUGGGACUGCAAGGCUCGAGUGCGGCAGAGGAGACUGGAAUUCCUGGUGUAGCAGUGAAAUGUGUAGAGAUCGGGAGGAACACCGGUGGCGAAGGCGGGGUCUCUGGGCAAUUCCUGACGCUGAGGCGCGAAAGCGUGGGGAGCAAACGGG